rnacentral:piRNA from 1 species
UAUUCAGAUUGCCUGUGGAAUGA